ACUAACUUCAAGACCCAGUGUGCUCCCUGGACUGCAUUUUCAGAUUUUAUAUAUAUAUAUAUAUAUAUAUAUAUAUAAAAUCAGAAAAUGCAGUCCAGGGAGCACACUGGGUCUUGAAGUUAGU